rnacentral:rRNA from 1 species
GACGAACGCUGGCGGCGUGCCUAAUACAUGCAAGUCGAACGCUUCUUUCCUCCCGAGUGCUUGCACUCAAUUGGAAAGAGGAGUGGCGGACGGGUGAGUAACACGUGGGUAACCUACCCAUCAGCGGGGGAUAACACUUGGAAACAGGUGCUAAUACCGCAUAACAGUUUAUGCCGCAUGGCAUAAGAGUGUAAGGCUCUUUCGUGUGUCGCUGAUGGAUGGACCCGCGGUGCAUUAGCUAGUUGGUGAGGUAACGGCUCACCAAGGCAACGAUGCAUAGCCGACCUGAGAGGGUGAUCGGCCACACUGGAACUGAGACACGGCCCAGACUCCUACGGGAGGCAGCAGUAGGGAAUCUUCGGCAAUGGACGAAAGUCUGACCGAGCAACGCCGCGUGAGUGAAGAAGGUUUUCGGAUCGUAAAACUCUGUUGUUAGAGAAGAACAAGGACGUUAGUAACUGAACGUCCCCUGACGGUAUCUAACCAGAAAGCCACGGCUAACUACGUG